UACGAAGGGGGCGAGCGUUGUUCGGAUUUACUGGGCGUAAAGGGCGCGCAGGCGGUCUUGUUUGUCGAGUGUGAAAGCCCCGGGCUCAACCUGGGAACUGCGCUCGAAACGGCGGGACUAGAGAUCGGGAGAGGAGAGUGGAAUUCCCAGUGUAGAGGUGAAAUUCGUAGAUAUUGGGAAGAACACCAGUGGCGAAGGCGGCUCUCUGGACCGAUACUGACGCUGAGGCGCGAAAGCGUGGGGAGCAAACAGG
rnacentral:rRNA from 1 species